CCCGGUUGAUCCUGCCGGACCAGACUGCUAUUGGGAUUCGACUAAGCCAUGCAAGUCUUCCGCGAGGAGGCGAAAGGCUGAGUAACACGUAGGUAACCUGCCUUCAGGUGGGAAAUAACUUCGGGAAACUGAGGAUAAUGUCCCAUAGGUUUAGGAUACUGGAAUGUUCCUAAAUCAAAAGUUUCGGCGCCUGAAGAUGGGCCUGCGACCUAUCAGGCUGUUGGUAGUGUAAUGGACUACCAAACCUUUGACGGGUAGGGGCAGUGAGAGCUGGAGCCCCCAGACGGGUACUGAGACACGGACCCGAGCCCUACGGGGUGCAGCAGGCGCGAAACCUCCGCAAUGCACGCAAGUGUGACGGGGGGAUCCCAAGUGUUCUUCCUUUAAAGAAGAACUUUUCUCAAGUGUAAAAAGCUUGAGGAAUAAGAGCUGGGUAAGACGGGUGCCAGCAGCCGCGGUAAUACCCGCAGCUCGAGUGGUCUGGACUUUUAUUGGGUCUAAAGCGUUCGUAGCCGGACCUGUAAGUUUUCUGUGAAAUCUAACAGCUUAACUGUUAGGCGUGCAGAGGAUACUAUAGGUCUCGGGACCGGGAUGGGCCAAGGGUACUCUUGGGGUAGGGGUGAAACUUCAAGCUCUGCUUGAAACUUGAAGCAAGCGAAGCUUGAUUCAUAGUCCAAUAAUCCUAAGGGGACCUCCAGUGGCUAAGGCGCUUGGCUAGAACGUGUCCGACGGUGAGGAACGAAAGCUAGGGGAGCGAACGGGAUUAGAUACCCCGGUAGUCCUAGCCGUAAAUGAUGCAGACUAGGUGUUGCAUUCCUUUCGAGGGAGUGCAGUGCCGAAGGGAAGCCGUUAAGUCUGCCACCUGGGAAGUACGGUCGCAAGGCUGAAACUUAAAGGAAUUGACGGGGGAGCACAACAAGAGG
rnacentral:rRNA from 1 species